UACUCCGUGGUACGUAUUACCUAUCCGACAACGAUAUUAAUCCGGGAUUUAGCCGUUACCCAUUAAUUUCCAGUUAUCGUCGUUUUCAUUGGCUGAGAAGUAAAUGUAAACAUUGCAGACAGCAUCAGCUGUUAAUUAAACUUUACAAAACGUGUUAAAUCAUUCAAAUGAGGAGCAUUUUGUGCUAUUACACUGCACCAGACGAUGUCACCUACUUCAUAUCUAUGGAAGGACAACUUGGCAUCGUAAAUAUCUUUACUUCGUUUACCACUUGACAAGAGGUGUUCUCUCGCCACAUCAUGUGCUCGCAACAUUUUGGUUCUUAAUUGCUGGACAUACCGGUUCUCAUUGAUAACCUCUUUGGACAUGGCAUUCGCAUGAUUGAACAUCAAGUCUGCAGGCAUUCUAAUCUCGCGACCAAGACAAAGGAGAUUUGGGGAAAGGUU